rnacentral:lncRNA from 10 species
UCUCAAAAAGAGAGAGAGAAAAAAGUUUCAGAGUAACACAGUGAGGCCUGUUGUCAUUAUUAACCCAUUUUAUGGGCACAUAAACUGAGGCUUUGAGAUGCUAAGUCAUGUGGCUGGCCCCAGGACUGUGGAGAGGGUGGUUAUUGAUAAAAAUUAUUAUUACUCCCAAUCUACAGAUGAAGAGACUGAGGCCUGCAGAGGAUAAACUGCCUUGCUCAAGAUUAUCCAGUGAGUGAAAGCAGUAUGAGAAGACUGAGUCUCCGAGAGGUUAAGGAAAUGGGCAGGGCCCAGGAGCCCAAUCCAGGCUGGUGGAACUCCAAAUUCUACUUUCAUGCUGGUCCCUGCUCUGCCACAAAAACACAUUGUGACCUCAGGCAAUAUGGGGGCAAUAUGGGGAAACCAUCAUUUCCCUAUAUGUACCAUGAGAGGGUGGACUAAAUGAUUCCCAGGGCCUCUCUUUGCUGGAAGUGUGAAGGGCGCCCUCUCAGCACAUAUCUGUGGAGCCUCAGAUGGCUCUGACCCUGCACGUUGGAGGGCUGUGGCUAUCCAAGACCAGGCACUGUACCCUCACCACCCCUUGAGCAAUGGCUGACAAGAGGGGUUGUGGAGACAGUCACACCUGGUUCAACCUCUACUGCUAUGCCUUUCUCCCUGAACAACCGCAGUUCAUAGUGAAAUUCCUUAACCUCUUGGAACCUCAAUGUCCUAACCUUUAAAAUGGGGAUAGGAAGAAUGCUCAUCUCAUUGGGUGGCUAUGAAAUCCAAUGAAAUAAUGCUUUGAACUGACCGAGAAGGGUGUUGCAGUCAGAAGAAGGGGAAUGAGCAAAAGCCAGAGGCCACCAUCCCCAGUCUGUAACAUCUGAUCCUAUACUCACACAACAAAUACCUGAGUCACUACUGUGUACCUGGCCCAGCGCCCAGCAUUGGAAUACAAAGAUGAUGGAGAUGGACAAGGAGACACAUUCUCCUGGAGGAAACAAAAUAAUAGCCAAGUCUGCAAAUAGAUGAAUAAAUCACUUUUGCGGGGGGUGCAUGGGUUAAAUUCGGUGAAGAACUUAAAACAGGUGAGGGGCUAAUGAGCCUGGACAAGGGACAGAAUUAGAAACAUGAUCCACUUUGGGAGGCCAAGGCGGGUGGAUCACCUGAGGUCAGGAGGUUGAGACCAGCCUGGCCAACAUGGCGAAACCUCAUCUUUACUAAAAGUACAAAAAUUAGCCGGGUGUUGUGAUGCGCCUGUAAUCCCAGCUACUCAAGAGGCUGAGGCAGGAAAAUCACUUGAACCUGGGAGGUGGAGGUUGCAGUGAGCCAAGAUUGCGCCAUUGCACUCCAGCCUGAGCGACAAGAGUGAGACUCUAUCUCAGAAGAACAAAAACACAUGUUUGGGGAAGGCCUCCCCAAGAGGGUACUAUCUGAGUUGAGAACUCACCAAAUGAUGGUUUGAGCCACGCUGCCAAGGCGUCUAGGGAACAGAGUGUCAGCAGAGGGAAGAGCAAGUGCAAAGGCCCUGUGAUGGGAUUAGGCUGCUGGGCAAAUGGAACUGGGGACCAGGGGCCAUGCCUGCCCUCCUCUGGGGGUACUUUCACAUGGCUUCUCCACAUCACAUUCAAAUCUGGUCCCUAAUUACCAGUGGCCUCUUUCCUGCUACCUGGGAGAGCUGGGUCCUGCUGCCUCUUACUUAUAAUUCUCCCUCAUUUUAACAACCUACAUUUCAAUAUUAUGUCCCCACAUCCCAAGGCCUCUGGGUACCAGGUAUAUUUCUCCAAAUCCCAAUAAAUAAAUACAGUAAAUCCAUGUGCCUUCAGGGAUUUUUAUGGGCCAGUCUGCCAGGAAAAUGGGCUGGUUGCCUCGGAGGGCCAAGCUGACAGAGCCAGCAAGGUAAUUAGCUGCUGAGUUAUGGGGGCCACUUGAAGUCUAAUUAUUGAGAGAUUUGAGGCACCCGCCUCAUUUGGGUCCAGAUUUACAUGGUGCUCGACGGGCUCUUUUGGUAGGUGUCUCCGUGGGGAUGCAGACAGGAAGGCAGCUACUGGGUCUCAGAGAGGAGGGACUUGGAGGUAAAAGGCUAGAGGGACACCUAGAAAUGGGGUGUGCCUGGCGUGGAUGGUGGGCCAGGGUGGUGCUGCCUUCUUGGGAAGCCAUCUAUCUUUUCCUGCAGCACUUGCAUACUCUCUGCUUCUAUUUUGUUUCUCUGGUUUAGAGCUAUCUCAUUAUACCUAUUUGUUCACAAGUGUCUCCUACGAGUCUCAUUCAUUCAUUCAUUAAAGAGAUCAAGAACACCUGUGAUGCAUCCGUAUUUGAUAUAAAGGUGCAAGAGAUGAGAGAGGUUCUCUUAUUAAACUGUGGGUUCGACAAAUGGUGCACAAUAUAUAUUUGUUGUAAGAAUUCAACAAUGUGCUGUCUCAGUGCCAUAAGACCUUGCCCUGCUCACCACUUAAAUUCCAGGCUAUACAGGUUUAGAUUGUGUGUGCGUGUGUGUGCGUGUGUGCGUGUGUGCGUGUGUGUGUGUGUCUAUGUGCACGCGCGCAUGCGUGCUCUUAUGCAAACACCCAAAUUGAAAGUCUCCCAUGCUCCAGGCAGGUGCUAG